rnacentral:lncRNA from 1 species
CAAAACUAAGCAAAUUAUUUUAUUGACAUAAUAAUUUUUUUCGUUCCAGUUUCUUCGUUUGAUUGAUUUUCCAGAUAUAUUUAAUACAUAUUUAUUCUAAGCAAUUUGUAUUUUUAUAUUAUUGCAAACAUUGAUGAAGAAAGAUAUAAUAAAUUGUCUCUAUAGAUUAAGCAUGAAAAAGAAGAGAAAAUAAAAAUUAACGAUCUCUCUACAUAAAAG